AUCGCUUCUCGGCCUUUUGGCUAAGAUCAAGUGUAUCUUAUUAUAUGAUGCGUCUGAUAUGAAAUCCAU